CAAUAGCGUAUAUUAAAGUUGUUGCAGUUAAAAAGCUCGUAGUUGGAUUUCUGGUCGGAAGCUCCUGUCCUCUGAUGAGCGUACAAGUGCGUCCUACCAUCCUUCUGUUAACCUUUAAGGCUUUCGCGGCUUUCUAGGGGCUCAGAUAUUUUACCUUGAGAAAAUUAGAGUGUUUCAGGCAGGCUAGCGCCGGAAUACAUUAGCAUGGAAUAAUGGAAUAGGACUUUUGCCUCUUCUGUUGGUCAUGAGGCUCGAGUAAUGAUUAAUAGGGAUAGUUGGGGGCAUUUGUAUUCGACUGUCAGAGGUGAAAUUCUUAGAUUUGUCGAAGACAAACAACUGCGAAAGCAUUUGCCAAGGAUAUUCUCAUUAA
rnacentral:rRNA from 1 species